AUAGGAGAGUGAGACUGAGACUCUCCUAAAAUGGAACCCUCUCUGUCCUCAGCUCCAGCCGUGGCUCCAGCUCUGGCUCCAGACUUAGCUACCAGUGAGGCUGCGCAUCUCAACGUGGACUUGUUUUCCACUCAUGCUUCCAUACUAGCAGAUUAAUAUUCAUGUGCUUUGCAUACUUUUACUUUGGCUUGUUUUCCUUUUUCUCAUUGGUUUGUGGGAGUUUCUUACACAUUCUAGUUCAAAAGUCCUUGUGAGCUUUAGGUGAAACAAAUGAUUUCUCUCAUUCUGUCAUUUCUCAAUGAAAGUAGUCUGAUUUGUCCUUGAUUUGAUGGAAAACCAGAGUUUGGAUGCAACCAAAUGUGUCCUACAAAUUGGUCUUUUUUUUUUUUUUCCUGGUUGGUUAAACUCAGAAUUUUCGAGCUUUAACACCCCUAUCCCAAUUACCCCAAAUCACCUCAGCUUCCCUCAGGCUUUACAUAGGAACUGGUGGCGACAUCAGUGAAGGCCUCUCUGGGCAACUUCCGGUUCACAUUGGCGUCCAGGCGUGAUUUCUUCAGCAUGUCCAUUGACGCGCAUGUUCAAUAUCACUUUUGGAGCUAUGCUCUGCAGAUAGUUAUCAUGGUGUAACGCGGUGGAGGGCGUGUCCGUUAUUUCCAUUGUAAACUUUUCUUCAGCGGCUUUGUCAGGAGAACAACAUGGUCGUGCCCAGAUAGAGUUGGUCACUGGAGGACGCCAUCUUCAAAAGAUGGUCGUUCCAUACAGCCAGGGAAGGCCUUGGGGUCUCACACAGCAAGGUCUUGGAGCUGUGCCAUACUGGCAGGGACCCUGUUGUGUAUAUAUCUACGCAGAUAUGUGUAUGACUGACAUUACAUAUUCUGAAAAAUAACUCUUUUAUAUUUUUACACUUAUUUGAAGGGUUUUUUUCCCCCUUCUACUAAAGAAUUCAAUGUCUUCUUGAAAA
rnacentral:lncRNA from 10 species